rnacentral:rRNA from 1 species
AACGCUGGCGGCAGGCCUAACACAUGCAAGUCGAACGGAGUUAUAUUGUAGCUUGCUAUGGUAUAACUUAGUGGCAGACGGGUGAGUAAUGUAUAGGAAUCUACCUAGUAGUACGGAAUAAUUGUUGGAAACGACAACUAAUACCGUAUACGCCCUACGGGGGAAAAAUUUAUUGCUAUUAGAUGAGCCUAUAUUAGAUUAGCUAGUUGGUGGGGUAAUAGCCUACCAAGGUAAUGAUCUAUAGCUGAUCUGAGAGGAUGAUCAGCCACACUGGAACUGAGAUACGGUCCAGACUCCUACGGGAGGCAGCAGUGGGGAAUAUUGGACAAUGGGCGAAAGCCUGAUCCAGCCAUGCCGCAUGAGUGAAGAAGGCCUUUGGGUUGUAAAGCUCUUUUAGUGAGGAAGAUAAUGACGGUACUCACAGAAGAAGUCCUGGCUAACUCCGUGCCAGCAGCCGCGGUAAUACGGAGAGGGCUAGCGUUAUUCGGAAUUAUUGGGCGUAAAGGGCGCGUAGGCUGGUUAAUAAGUUAAAAGUGAAAUCCCGAGGCUUAACCUUGGAAUUGCUUUUAAAACUAUUAAUCUAGAGAUUGAAAGAGGAUAGAGGAAUUCCUGAUGUAGAGGUAAAAUUCGUAAUAUUAGGAGGAACACCAGUGGCGAAGGCGUCUAUCUGGUUCAAUCUGACGCUGAAGCGCGAAGGCGUGGGGAGCAAACAGGAUAGAUACCCUGGUAGUCCACGCUGUAAACGAUGAAUGUUAAAUAUGGGGAGUUUACUUUUCUU